CAGCACCUCAAGUGGUCAGGAUGCUUAUUGGGCCUAAAGCAUCCGUAGCCGGCUCUGUAAGUUUUCGGUUAAAUCUGUACGCUCAACGUACAGGCUGCCGGGAAUACUGCAGCGCUAGGGAGUGGGAGAGGUAGACGGUACUCGGUAGGAAGGGGUAAAAUCCUUUGAUCUAUUGAUGACCACCUGUGGCGAAGGCGGUCUACCAGAACACGUCCGACGGUGAGGGAUGAAAGCUGGGGGAGCAAACCGGAUUAGAUACCCGAGUAGUCC
rnacentral:rRNA from 1 species